rnacentral:lncRNA from 1 species
GGGGCAGUCAAAGGAAUAAACAGUGUCAGCUGGCCAGGAGUAUCUGAUCCUUAUAGUCCAGGGAGGCUUAACAGCUAUGGAGUUUAUUACAGAGUGACCAGUGCUGGUGAAGCAGGAAACUGAGGACCGCAAACAGACUACUCUUAACAGGAAGAUAGGAGCAAAAAGUGGCUUUUAAUGCUGAUAGCUUGGCAAAUGACUUUCCUCUGUCUUGGGAGCCCCAAAUAGAAGUUUGCUCUUCUUUAUUACUUCUUUUUACAUCUACAAGUCUAACUUUCACUGGAGUGUAUUUCAAGGAGGAUUUACACAAAGCAAAGCAGUAGGUGUGGAAUUUUUUUUUUUUUUUUUUUUUUACCUGGUACAGGAGACCGAACUUGGGACCUUGUGCUUGCGAGGCAGGCAGUGGAAUUACUGAGCUAAAUCCCCAACCCAGGUGUGUAUGUAGGGGGAGAACAGAGUUCUGGCUGAACUUUCUGAGUCUGUUACACUCUUUUGGUGACAGAUUACAAAAGUUGUCAUGGCUACUCAGGUACGUUCUACCAGGAACAUAGUUGCCUAGUUAACCCAUAGUUGCCUAAUAACAACCCAUAGUUUGCCCAAUUCCAUAUGGAGGGGAGGUUCCCUCCCUCGCUGAGAUUAAGGUAUGGCUGCUGUAGGCAAUCAUGCCUAACUGGACCCGGGGAAAGGAAAGUUUCAAAGAGAAAGUCACAAACGCAUAAAUUGAAGGAGACUGCAAAGUUUUUGAGGAUGAUUUGUGUUGGUGGCUCAGAUGACAGGAGACAACUCAUGAGGGCCCUUAGCAGGCAGGCGGUGACCUCACGCAGCACCUUGGCAGAGAGGAAAGGAAAGAAAAGAGCAGCACCGUGAGGUGAGACCCAACCCGCCGGCUAGGAACCUCUUCCCAGCUCCCAGUUUCCUUUCCUCCCUAGGCGAGGCCAUAAAAUGAGGUGGAGUGGUGGGUGCUCUACUAGGUCUUGGCCCCUGCAGCCACGCUCGGUGUGCACGGGGAAUGCCCUCAGCUUUGAAGUCACCUGAGCUUCCCCAGAGCCACAUGGAAGCGUCACCCUUGCCUGCUUCUCAAAAAUAAAUAAAUAAAACAAAAACUCUACUGAGCAGUGGAGAGAAUGUUUAAAAGGACUCAGUAAUCAAAGUUUUAUCCCCGGCUUUGGAUUAAACUGCUGUCUCUUGAUAAAUCCCCGCGCAGGGCCACGCUGUGGAUCAGCAGACAGCUAGCUCUGUUCGCCACCUGCCCUCGCCGCCGCGCCUCUCGCCUU